GCGGCCGUGGCCGACUGGUUACGAUAUUCGCUUUGUAAGCGAAUGGUCCUGGGUUUGAUGCCCAUCUGCUCA
rnacentral:tRNA from 1 species